ACGACCUUACUUGAACAGGAUCUGUUCUAUAGGCUCGUACAAUUGACUCCUUGAGUGCAUAGGAGACAAGCAACAAAGCCUGGUGGAUGAACCAUGGUCUCGAGAUCAGAGCGUGAUUGACAGUCCUGGUCCGAUCUUGGGUCCGGAUUGUGGAGGAUCGUUCACAACUCGGCUUCAACCGGGUUGGGGUGGUCUCUAGGCUGUCUGACAGGCU